CAACGCUGGCGGCGUGCCUAAUACAUGCAAGUCGAGCGGAAUGAUGAAGAAGCUUGCUUCUUCUGAUUUUAGCGGCGGACGGGUGAGUAACACGUGGGCAACCUACCUUGUAGAUUGGGAUAACUCCGGGAAACCGGGGCUAAUACCGAAUAAUCCAUUUUGCUUCAUGGCGAGAUGUUGAAAGACGGUUUCGGCUGUCACUACAAGAUGGGCCCGCGGCGCAUUAGCUAGUUGGUAGGGUAAUGGCCUACCAAGGCGACGAUGCGUAGCCGACCUGAGAGGGUGAUCGGCCACACUGGGACUGAGACACGGCCCAGACUCCUACGGGAGGCAGCAGUAGGGAAUCUUCCACAAUGGACGAAAGUCUGAUGGAGCAACGCCGCGUGAGUGAAGAAGGUUUUCGGAUCGUAAAACUCUGUUGUAAGGGAAGAACACGUACGAGAGUAACUGCUCGUACCUCGACGGUACCUUAUUAGAAAGCCAUGGCUAACUACGUG
rnacentral:rRNA from 1 species